CAGGAUGAACGCUAGCGACAGGCUUAACACAUGCAAGUCGAGGGGCAGCGGGAAGGUUAGCUUGCUAAUCUUUGCCGGCGACCGGCGCACGGGUGAGUAACACGUAUGCAACCUGUCCGGUACAGGGGGAUAAGCGGCGGAAACGCCGUCUAAUACCGCGUGACAACCCGAGGGGGCAUCCCCUUGGGUUCAAAGGAGAGAUCCGGUACCGGCUGGGCAUGCGGCGCAUUAGCUAGUUGGCGGGGCAACGGCCCACCAAGGCGACGAUGCGUAGGGGUUCUGAGAGGAAGGUCCCCCACACUGGAACUGAGACACGGUCCAGACUCCUACGGGAGGCAGCAGUGAGGAAUAUUGGUCAAUGGGCGCAAGCCUGAACCAGCCAAGUCGCGUGAGGGAAGACGGCCCUACGGGUUGUAAACCUCUUUUGCCGGGGAGCAAGCCUGAGCACGUGUGCCCAGGCGGAGAGUACCCGGAGAAAAAGCAUCGGCUAACUCCGUGCCAGCAGCCGCGGUAAUACGGAGGAUGCGAGCGUUAUCCGGAUUUAUUGGGUUUAAAGGGUGCGCAGGCGGGCUGUUAAGCCGGCGGUAAAAAUUCAGGGCUCAACCCUGUCGAGCCGUCGGAACUGGCAGUCUUGAGUGGGCGAGAAGUAUGCGGAAUGCGUGGUGUAGCGGUGAAAUGCAUAGAUAUCACGCAGAACGCCGAUUGCGAAGGCAGCAUACCGGCGCCCGACUGACGCUGAGGCACGAAAGCGUGGGGAUCGAACAGGAUUAGAUACCCUGGUAGUCCACGCAGUAAACGA
rnacentral:rRNA from 1 species